UACAGAGGGGGCAAGCGUUGUUCGGAAUUACUGGGCGUAAAGGGCGUGUAGGCGGCCACUUAAGUCCUGCGUGAAAUCUUGCGGCUCAACCGCAAGCGGUCGUGGGAAACUGGGUGGCUAGAGUGCGGGAGAGGAGAGUGGAAUUCCUGGUGUAGCGGUGGAAUGCGCAGAUAUCAGGAAGAACACCCGUGGCGAAGGCAGCUCGCUGGGACGUUACUGACGCUGAGACGCGAAAGCGUGGGAGGCAAACAGG
rnacentral:rRNA from 1 species